rnacentral:rRNA from 1 species
AGCAGCCGCGGUAAUUCCAGCUCCAAUAGCGUAUAUUAAAGUUGUUGCAGUUAAAAAGCUCGUAGUUGAAUUUCGGGAUCAAUAUGCCGGUCAUGCCUUGGUAUGCACUGGUAUCUUUGAUUUCUCCCUUCUGACGAACUUUGAUGUCAUUAAUUUGGUGUCAUAGGGAAUCAGGACUGUUACUUUGAAAAAUUAGAGUGUUUAAAGCAGGCUCACGCUUGAAUACAUUAGCAUGGAAUAAUGAAAUAGGACGUUUGAUUCUAUUUUGUUGGUUUCUAGGAUCGACGUAAUGAUUAAUAGGGAUAGUUGGGGGCAUUAGUAUUCAAUUGUCAGAGGUGAAAUUCUUGGAUUUAUUGAAGACUAACUACUGCGAAAGCAUUUGCCAAGGAUGUUUUCAUUAAUCAAGAACGAAAGUUAGGGGAUCGAAGACGGUCAGAUACCGUCGUAGUCUUAACCAUAAACUUAUGCCGACUAGGGAUCGGAUGAUGUUAAUUUUUAGNGACUCAUUC